rnacentral:tRNA from 1 species
UCCCGUGUGGCUCAGUUGGUAGAGCAUGGUGCUUGUAACGCCAGGGUUGUAGGUUCGACUCCCACUGGGGAC